UGGGGAAUUUUGGACAAUGGGCGAAAGCCUGAUCCAGCAAUGCCGCGUGUGUGAAGAAGGCCUUCGGGUUGUAAAGCACUUUUGUCCGGAAAGAAAUCCUUGGCUCUAAUACAGUCGGGGGAUGACGGUACCGGAAGAAUAAGCACCGGCUAACUACGUGCCAGCAGCCGCGGUAAUACGUAGGGUGCAAGCGUUAAUCGGAAUUACUGGGCGUAAAGCGUGCGCAGGCGGUUUGCUAAGACCGAUGUGAAAUCCCCGGGCUCAACCUGGGAACUGCAUUGGUGACUGGCAGGCUAGAGUAUGGCAGAGGGGGGUAGAAUUCCACGUGUAGCAGUGAAAUGCGUAGAGAUGUGGAGGAAUACCGAUGGCGAAGGCAGCCCCCUGGGCCAAUACUGACGCUCAUGCACGAAAGCGUGGGGGAGCAAAACAGGAUUAGAUACCCUGGUAGUCCACGCCCUAAAACGAUGUCAACUAGUUGUUGGGGAUUCAUUUCCUUAGUAACGUAGCUAACGCGUGAAGUUGACCGCCUGGGGAGUACGGUCGCAAGAUUAAAACUCAAAGGAAUUGACGGGGUCAUAGCUG
rnacentral:rRNA from 1 species